rnacentral:rRNA from 1 species
AAUCUUGGACAAUGGGGGAAACCCUGAUCCAGCCAUCCCCCUCGUGCGAUGAAGGCCUCCGGGUUGUAAAGCACUUUUGGCGGGGAAGACAAGGCCCCGGCUAAUAAUCGGAACUGCUGACGGUACCUGCAGACAAAGAACCGGCAAACUACUUGCCAGCAGCCGUGGUAAUACGUAGGGUGCAAGCGUUACUCGGAAAUACUGGGCGUAAAGCGUGCGCAGUCGGUUUGGCAAGAAGGAUGUGAAAUCCCGGGGCUUAACCUGGGAACUGCAUUCUUAACUGCCAGGCUAGAGUAUGUCAGAGGGGGGUAGAAUUCCACGUGUAGCAGUGAAAUGCGUAGAGAUGUGGAGGAAUACCGAUGGCGAAGGCAGCCCCCUGGGAUAAUACUGACGCUCAUGCACGAAAGCGUGGGGAGCAAACA